rnacentral:tRNA from 1 species
GCUUGAUGACAUGAGAUGUCACGAGACUUUUAAUCUUGGGGUCCAGGGUUCGAAUCCCUGCGGGC